ACGGAGGGUGCAAGCGUUAUUCGGAAUUAUUGGGCGUAAAGGGCGUGUAGGCGGCUUAUCAAGUCAGAUGUGAAAGCCCGGGGCUCAACCUCGGAAGUGCAUUUGAAACUGGUAGACUUGAGUGCGGGAGAGGAAAGCGGAAUUCCCAGUGUAGGAGUGAAAUCCGGUAAUACUGGGGGGACCACCUGUGGCGAAGGCGUCUCACUAGGACGGCUCUGACACUGAGGCGCGAAAGCGGGGGGAGCAAACAG
rnacentral:rRNA from 1 species